AAUUUUGCAGCCAUUCCCUAUGUAUCAUGUCAGUACAACAUGGAUGCAAGUCGUCCCAAAGUUAAAUCCAAAGGGACGUGACCUCCUACAGCGGCUCCUGAUCUGUAACCCACCAGGACGACUGUCGGCCGAGGAGGGCAUGCUUCACCAAUACUUCAGUGACCUUGACCCUGCCAUUAAACUUGCUACAGAUAACUCCGCACUCAUUGUACAAGGGAGAUAACCCAUUAGGUUCAUUUUAGGAGACAACAAAUUCUAGUCAAGAGUGUAUGAUCUCAUCGCUUAGGGAAUGUACAUGUGAAUUGUUCCUGGCAUAUUGAAGGGGUGUAAAAUGUUUAUUCUUGGCUGAAUUUUAAAGGAAUGGUCAUCUAAAGAGAUUGUCAAAAGACGUGUUAUUUUUAGUUUGUAUAAAGAUGUGAUUUACAUGUAUAUGCAGCUGAGUAAUUCAGUGUGAAACCAAUUUCAGCUCCAAAAACAAGCAUGCACAUAUACAAGGAAAAUUUGAAUUAAGCAUUGUUUGUACAUAAAAGUAGUGAAUUGAGAAGGAAAAGGGAACGUUUUUCAAAAGAUGUAUGGCUGUGAUUUGUUUGAACAUGUUUUGUUAUAGAUGUAAAUAAUUUACAUUAAUUUAUAA